AGCAGCCGCGGUAAUUCCAGCUCCAAUAGCGUAUAUUAAAGUUGUUGCAGUUAAAAAGCUCGUAGUUGAAUUUCGGGAUCAGUUGGUCGGUCGUGCCUCGGUACGUACUGGUCAAAUUGAUUCCUACCUUCUGACGAACCACGAUGUCAUUAAUUUGGUGUCGCGGGAAAUCAGGACUGUUACUUUGAAAAAAUUAGAGUGUUUAAAGCAGGCUCGCGCUUGAAUACAUUAGCAUGGAAUAAUGAAAUAGGACGUUUGAUUCUAUUUUGUUGGUUUCUAGGAUCGACGUAAUGAUUAAUAGGGAUAGUUGGGGGCAUUAGUAUUCAAUUGUCAGGGGUGAAAUUCUUGGAUUUAUUGAAGACUAACUACUGCGAAAGCAUUUGCCAAGGAUGUUUUCAUUAAUCAAGAACGAAAGUUAGGGGAUCGAAGACGAUCAGAUACCGUCGUAGUCUUAACCAUAAACUAUGCCGACUAGGGAUCGGAUGAUGUUAAUUUUUUUAAUGACUCAUUCGGCACCUUA
rnacentral:misc_RNA from 1 species